UACGGAGGGUGCGAGCGUUGUCCGGAAUCAUUGGGCGUAAAGGGCGCGUAGGUGGCCCGGUCAGUUCGUGGUGAAAGCGCGGGGCUCAACUCCGCGUCGGCCAUGAAUACUGCUGGGCUGGAGCACUGUAGAGGCCGGUGGAAUUCCCGGUGGAGUGGUGAAAUGCGUAGAGAUCGGGAGGAACACCAGUGGCGAAGGCGGCCGGCUGGGGGUGACCUGACGCUGAGGCGCGAAAGCGAUGGGGAG
rnacentral:rRNA from 1 species